rnacentral:rRNA from 1 species
CCAACAGGGAUUCCCUUAGUAAGUGAGACUGAAACGGGAAGAGCCCAGCGCAUAACUUUGCGCAAGGGGUGUUGCGUUUCGGAGGGCCCCAGGCCGUCGGUCGCUGCUAAGUCUUGCUUGAACGCAGCCAAUGCCCAGGGAGGGUGCUAGGCCCGUAUGGCAGUUAGUAGUCCCAGGACGAAAGAGAACCGACGGAAGGGGCCUUCUGUAGAGUCGGGUUGCUUGGCAUUGCAGCCCAAAGAAGGUGGUAAACUCCAUCUAAGGCUAAAUAUACCCACGAGA